CAUUACUAUAACUACCAACAGCUGGACAGGUAAAGCUGGCCAACCCGGGCUGAAGGCCUGUCAUAAAAUGCUAAAGAAGGGACCUAGAGCAGCCCCCAAAACAUGCAUUUCUUAACAGUUUUGCUGCGGUAAAGAAAAUUUACAUUAAGGGAACAGUGUGCACACAUGCAAUAAAUUAGUUCCAGAUCUUGCAUUAGUCCUUUGUUAAAUGUGAC